rnacentral:rRNA from 1 species
GACGAACGCUGGCGGCGUGCUUAACACAUGCAAGUCGAACGAAGUGGCGGACGGGUGAGUAACGCGUAAUAAACCUGCCCUUCAGAGGGGAACAACAGUUGGAAACGUCUCCUAAUACCGCAUACUGAAGGAGGGGCUUGCGUCUGAUUAGCUAGUUGGAGGGGUAACGGCUCACCAAGGCGAUGUUCAGUAGCCGGUCUGAGAGGAUGAACGGCCACACUGGGACUGCGACACGGCCCAGACUCCUACGGGAGGCAGCAGUGGGGAAUUUUGGACAAUGGGCGCAAGCCUGAUCCAGCCAUGCCGCGUGUCUGAAGAAGGCCUUCGGGUUGUAAAGUACUUUUGUCAGGGAAGCGGUACCUAACGAAGAAGCACCGGCUAACUCCGUGCCAGCAGCCGCGGUAAUAC